GAUGAACGCUGGCGGCGUGCCUAAUACAUGCAAGUCGAGCGAACAGACGAGGAGCUUGCUCCUCUGACGUUAGCGGCGGACGGGUGCGUAACCCGUGGAUAACCUACCUAUCAGACUGCGAUAACUACUAGAAACCAGACCUAAUACCGGAUAAUAUAUUCCACCGCAUGGUUCAAUAGUGAAAGACUGUCUUGCUGUCACUUAUAGAUCGAACCGCGCCGCUUUGGCUUGGUGGUAAGGUAACGGUUUACAAAGGCAACGAUGCGUAGCCGACCUGAGAGAUGGUGCGGCGACACUGGAAGUGGGACACGGUCCAGACUCCGACGGAGGGCAGCAGUAGGGAAUCGUCCGCAAUGGGCGAAAGCUUGACGGAGCAACGCCGCGUGAGUGAUGAAGGUCUUCGGGUCGUAAAACUCUGUGAUUAGGGAAGAACAAAUGUGUAAGUAACUGUGCACGUCUUGACGGUACCUAAGCAGAAAGCCACGGCUAACUACGUG
rnacentral:rRNA from 1 species